rnacentral:lncRNA from 1 species
GGCGCGCUGCCCCGGUCCGGCCGCUCGUGCGAGCUCCGCGCUCGGAGACUAACGCUCUCUGGUUUAUCCGUGUAAGUCCGCCCUGGCAGGCCGCAAGGUUCCAGUAGAACUGAGGCAUCUCUGGAUUCCUACUGAUGAAACUUCACUUCACACAUGACCCUUUGAGGACACAGGAGCAGUGGUUAUGUGGUGCUGCAGGCUCUUGAAUGAGAAACAGAGUUGGAAAGAAAAACACUUAGUAGCUUAACUGGAAGAAAACCCCAAAUGCUCAGAUGCGAGGCCAUCUUCAGCUCUGCUGUGCAGCAGAAGAGUGAAUGCUGUGACUAUGCUGAGCAUAGUCAGCAUGUGAUCCUGCAUAGACUGGCAUAUAGUGCAGAAAUAAGGUGGAUGUCAUCUAAAGGUGUAUGUUCCUGGACUCCUGGUUAAAAAUAGGCUGUCUGUCAAGGGUGUGGUAAGCAGUGGACAAUACCAAAACCAGGAGAUAUAAGAACCUUUCCUACAGGAUUAAAAAUUUGACUCUUCUGU